UUCCCAUUUAUUUAGAAUUGA
rnacentral:piRNA from 1 species